rnacentral:rRNA from 1 species
UACGUAGGGUGCGAGCGUUAAUCGGAAUUACUGGGCGUAAAGCGUGCGCAGGCGGUUCGCCAAGUCAGGUGUGAAAUCCCCGGGCUUAACCUGGGAAUUGCGCUUGAAACUGGCGGGCUUGAGUGUGGCAGAGGGGGGUGGAAUUCCGCGUGUAGCAGUGAAAUGCGUAGAGAUGCGGAGGAACACCGAUGGCGAAGGCAGCCCCCUGGGCCAACACUGACGCUCAGGCACGAAAGCGUGGGGAGCAAACAGG